rnacentral:misc_RNA from 1 species
AAGUCGUAACAAGGUUUCCGUAGGUGAACCUGCGGAAGGAUCAUUACAGAGUUCUUGCCCUUACGGGUAGAUCUCCCACCCUUGAAUACAUACCUUUGUUGCUUUGGCGGGCCGCGCUUGCGCUACUGGCUUCGGCUAGUACGUGCCCGCCAGAGGACCACAACUCUUGUUUCUAGUGAUGUCUGAGUACUAUAUAAUAGUUAAAACUUUCAACAACGGAUCUCUUGGUUCUG